AGAGUUUGAUCCUGGCUCAGGAUGAACGCUAGCGGCAGGCUUAAUACAUGCAAGUCGAGGGGCAGCAUGACUGUAGCAAUACAGUUGAUGGCGACCGGCAAACGGGUGCGGAACACGUACAGAACCUUCCUUCGAGCGGGGAAUAGCCCAGAGAAAUUUGGAUUAAUACCCCAUAGCAUAACGGAGUGGCAUCACUCUGUUAUUAAAGAUUUAUCACUUGAAGAUGGCUGUGCGGCUGAUUAGGUAGUUGGCGGGGUAACGGCCCACCAAGCCUGCGAUCAGUAACUGGUGUGAGAGCACGACCAGUCACACGGGCACUGAGACACGGGCCCGACUCCUACGGGAGGCAGCAGUAAGGAAUAUUGGUCAAUGGACGAAAGUCUGAACCAGCCAUGCCGCGUGGAGGAUGAAGGUCCUCUGGAUUGUAAACUUCUUUUAUAUGGGACGAAAAAAGGCUUUUCUAAGUCGUCUGACGGUACCAUAUGAAUAAGCACCGGCUAACUCCGUGCCAGCAGCCGCGGUAAUACGGAGGGUGCAAGCGUUAUCCGGAUUCACUGGGU
rnacentral:rRNA from 1 species